rnacentral:tmRNA from 1 species
GGGGAUGCCAGGUCUCGACGGGAGAAGCUGAGUCCGGAUUGCGAGCCGAGAGGUACCGACCUCGUUAACUCAGUACACCAAACAAGUGCCAAUCGCACUUCUUAUGCUACCCUCCCACUUGCUGCAUAAGCAGGUGUGAAGUAGCUGACCUCCCCAAAACGGCGAGGUCACGCUCCCUGAGGCCGUUCGUCCGACCGGAAUCAGCAAGAGUGUCAUAAAAGUCGGAAUGCUGUCUGUCAGGCCGUGAGGCGGACUUAAGAGGGCUUUCGGGCUCAAGCGGAUUGUCUUUCAAUAGUUUAGCUGGUUGAUCUGUUGAAGGAUGAAAAAGAAUAACCGGCUACGCUCGUAGAAAUUCGAGGGUCUAAUCUUUCGGACGCGGGUUCGAUUCCCGCCAUCUCCACCU